rnacentral:piRNA from 1 species
UAGAUGAGAGCAGAUCAGAGUCACUCUCCUA